CCUAGCUUAGCUCAGUGGUUAGAGCGUCCAAACGGCACCUGGAAGGUCAUGGGUUCGAUUCCCGUUGCCCCAGGG